CCCUUUGGGUGUGACUGCGUACCUUUUGUAUAAUGGGUCAGCGACUUAUAUUCUGUAGCAAGGUUAACCGAAUAGGGGAGCCGGAGGGAAACCGAGUCUUAACCGGGCGUUAAGUUGCAGGGUAUAGACCCGAAACCCGGUGAUCUAGCCAUGGGCAGGUUGAAGGUUGGGUAACACUAACUGGAGGACCGAACCGACUAAUGUUGAAAAAUUAGCGGAUGACCUGUGGCUGGGGGUGAAAGGCCAAUCAAACCGGGAGAUAGCUGGUUCUCCCCGAAAGCUAUUUAGGUAGCGCCUCGUGAAUUCAUCUCCGGGGGUAGAGCACUGUUUCGGCUAGGGGGCCAUCCCGGCUUACCAACCCGAUGCAAACUGCGAAUACCGGAGAAUGUUAUCACGGGAGACACACGGCGGGUGCUAACGUCCGUCGUGAAGAGGGAAACAACCCAGACCGCCAGCUAAGGUCCCAAAGUCAUGGUUAAGUGGGAAACGAUGUGGGAAGGCCCAGACAGCCAGGAUGUUGGCUUAGAAGCAGCCAUCAUUUAAAGAAAGCGUAAUAGCUCACUGGUCGAGUCGGCCUGCGCGGAAGAUGUAACGGGGCUAAACCAUG
rnacentral:rRNA from 4 species